rnacentral:rRNA from 1 species
AGAUUGAACGCUAGCGGGAUGCUUUACACAUGCAAGUCGAACGGCAGCGCGGACUUCGGUCUGGCGGCGAGUGGCGAACGGGUGAGUAAUAUAUCGGAACGUGCCCAGUAGCGGGGGAUAACUACGCGAAAGCGUGGCUAAUACCGCAUACGCCCUACGGGGGAAAGGGGGGGAUCGCAAGACCUCUCACUAUUGGAGCGGCCGAUAUCAGAUUAGCUAGUUGGUGAGGUAAGGCUCACCAAGGCGACGAUCUGUAGCUGGUUUGAGAGGACGACCAGCCACACUGGGACUGAGACACGGCCCAGACUCCACGGGAGCAGCAGU